rnacentral:snoRNA from 1 species
GUGCUGUAAAGCUGAUGAGUUUUCAUGUCUCUUCUCUGACUAAACAUCAAUGAAGAGGACUUUCACCACUCUGAUCUCAGCAU